rnacentral:lncRNA from 1 species
GGCGGCGCCCAGGCUGGGAUACGCAGUGAUCAGUCUUUAGAGACCCUGAAAUGAGAACCCAUAACAAAUAUUCAGCAAUCACCCCCCCAAGUGUAAUCGCCGUAGAAUAAAACGCAGUCUGGUUCUGCCCAGGUUGUCGGGAAUCCCCGAGGCGGGGCUGGGGGAAUGUGCUCCGCAAGCUGAGGCAGGGCUAACCCGGAACAAUAGCCGCAGGAAGGCCGCCUGCAGACGCCCUCCCGGGCCUCCCGCCCCGCCAGCCUCCGCCGCGUGCUCGCUGUCGGGGCGGCAGCUGCGGACCCGGCACAGGAUCCCUAGGGUCGGCGGCUGGAAACCAAAGGGCAGUGAUGGGUUCUGCUCGGACGACUUCGCUGGUAUCUGUUCUCACGACUGGCCAAGAAUCGGCCAAGGAUAUAAAACUGCCAGCAUCUGCUUUUAAUCCACCUUCUCCCCCUGAGCAUCCUAAAAAGCACAGGGACACAAGAACACCAAGAGCCUCCCAGGCGCAGCUGCACUGCUGGAAGGCCCUCCCAGGAUCGCUGCAAGAGAGGCAGGCAGAUGACUGA